UAGACAAGAAAAGCUCUAAUAGGAAACUGUAGCUUGGGGGGGGGUUCUGGGAGGAAAAGGACACACACACACACACACACACACACACACACACACACACACACGAUGCACAGCCCACCUGGCACAUAUUUCUUUAGCUUUAUUCUUUCAGCUCACUGUAGAAUAAAGGAAAAAGGAAGAAGCAUAUUCAGAGGUGUGUGUGUGUGUGUGUGUGUGUGUGUGUGUGUGUGUGUGUGUGUGUGUGGUGCACCUCAAUGCCAGCCUAUGAACCAAUGGCAAAUGGGUGACAAUCUCAAAAUUGCAAGCUUGUAACUAUAGCAGUGUCCAGAAUGCCUGUUCUCUGCCUUACGGGUUCAUACUUUAUUUUAGUGAUCCUCUUGUCUUUGGUCAGUCAAUUAUAUCGGUACAUGGAACAUCACAGUCUGAUACGACUUUUAUGAAUAAGAAGGACAUCUUUGACAAAACGGCUUUUAAGUAGCACUAGGAACACCUGUCAUUUGAAGGAUCUGAGGUUUACAGAAGUCCCCAUCUGUAGUUACAUGUGAUGUGGCAGCCACAAGCUCAGCUCACUGAGAGAGAGGAUAGCUUUUGUCACUUCCCUUGAACCUGACUGGUCAGGACUUCCAUUUGCCAGGUGGGGAACUUGCUCUGGGUCAGUUCAGGAUUUCCCCAUCUCCCAUAUAAUGCAGGAGUGAUGACAUCAGACAGGACUGGGUCCCGGCUGAUAGCCAAUAUUCAUGACGAUUCAGAGUUCUCCAGCAUUCUAAGCUCAGGACACCCAGGCAGCCAUCAGCUCAAGGGCCUUGUAGUAAUGACCUGGGCUGAACAGAGUAUCUCACAGCCACUUACUUUUCUGGGCAGCUCUCACACAUGCAUGAUCCACGCAGGAGAAGAAAGACCCACACAUGCAUUCCCACUUUGGAACAACACUUUAGGACCACUGUGGUGACGUCUGAGGCCUCCCUGUGGUCCACAGAGGCCUUCCUUGAUACCACUCCAUAGCUCAAGUCUGUCUCCUACCCAGCUCUACUCUAGGAUUGGAUGUUUUAACCAGAGGUUGUGUCCUGGCCCUGUGCAGAGGUGGAAGUCCUUCUACCACACCCCCUGUGAACUUGCUGGGUGUUAAUGAACAGACAGAUGCAGUUAGUUCAGAAUGGACACUCCGGAGACACACUGUGCAUUACUAAGCCAAUUCUGAUGUCAUUAGAGGUAGCAUUUAUGGACCAGAUAUCUCUGCCUCUGUACCUCAACUUUCUCAUCUGUAAAAAAGUGGUGAUAAUACUAUUCCCAUCACACCAAAAAGGGGAGAAAAAAGGAAAGAGAUGAGAGCAUGCAUUAAACAGUCUAGCAUGAACGUUCUGAGUGAAUGCUGGUUGUUCUAUAACGUACACAAGCCUUUGUGCUUUCUACGGGGUGUCCUGACCAGUUUUAACAUGACACAACUUAGAGUCGUCCAAGAGAAGAGCUUCAAUGGAGGAGUUGCCUAGAUCAGACAGGUUGGUGGGGAAUAUGUUGACUAUUACUUGAUGUAAGAAAGCCCAGCCCAUGGUGGGUGGUACCCUCCUUAGGAAGAUGGUCAGGGUUAGGGUCAGAGUACAUGACAGGUGCCCACAAGCCAACCAGCAGGCAGCACUCCCUACAGCCCCUGAUGCACUUCGUGGAUGGGAAGGGAUUUAAUGCUGUGUGGAAUGGCCCGUAGACCUGCCUUCGAGUUCCUGCCUUGAUGCCUUCAGCGAUGCACUGUGACUUGGAGUUGUAAGUAAACCUGAAUUGCUUAUGGUCGGGCAGUUUUAUCACAGCAACAAAAAUGAAAUGUGAACAGAGGGCGAAACUUGAGAAAUUCAACUGCCCUGAAAAGACCUCACGUGUCCCCUCCGUCUUUGCUUCUGAGACAAUGAAAUUGAAACAGCCUCAGAGACCAUGUAAAAGGAAGAUCAAGCAAGGGGCAAAAACAUUAUCCUGUUAUCCAGACCGAGAUCUUUUUGCAUUGAGAUCUGCCAAGUGCUUCUAGUCAAACUUCAAGCUCUGAAGCUUUCACUUAGGCUACGCCAAAUCGGGAGAAAUAGGAAGGUGGGAGAAAGGACUGCUCUGGACGAAUCAAAACAACACUCCACAGGAAGCAAGAACACCGGGAAACCAGACAAAGUCCACCGAUUUAUUAAAAGAACCUCUUGUUUCCACAACAUUCUAUGGAGUUAAGUCCAGGCUGAAAAGGAAGGCCCAUCCUCCCAGUAUGGCACAAAUGUGAACAAGCAGCCUCAAGGUCCUGAUGCCGCAGCUCCGAGCUUCCAAGAUGUCUGCCGUGAUUCCUCGGCCAUGACGAGUUGCAGCCUCCGAAAGCCUGAACUGAACCACAGUCUUCCUCUUUAGCGUUCCUUCGGCCGGGUAUUUGCUAUGGCAACCAGAGAAGUUUCCAGAACCUCAUGAGCCUUCCAACCUCGAAGUUCCCUGUAAGCAUAGAGGAGUAUUAACAACGCUUUAAAACCCGGCACGGAUUCCUGGAUGUGGAACACCAAGAGAGAACUCUAAACUGUGGACACAGGGUGACGUGGUGCAUGGACUCAGGGUCAGCGGUUGGAACAAGUGUGCCAUUCUGUUGGGGUAUGUCAAAACCAGGGUAGCUACGCAUGAAGGAACACCAGAGUUCAGGAGCUUCGUUCAACCUUCCACUCAGUUUUGUUGUGAACUCCAAUCUACUCUUAAAAAUUAAGUCAUUUUCUCUUUAAACUAAAAGGCAGUAGAUUUCAGUCAAGAAUGGGAUAGUGGCUGCAGAAGGCCAGGUGGGAGCUGUGAAACUGAUCUGACUGGAGUCCCUGUGGGCACUAACAGAAGGUGGUACUGGGUGUGCCUUCAUGGUGCCUCCGUGUGUGCCUCCUUCGUCCAUUAAUUGCUUGGGGAAAACUGCAAAAGCCUCCGAAUGUUUUCUACUGACGUCAGAGCUUCCCCCUGGAGAAAUAAAACCAUUGCACAUUGCCAUUGAAGGUGGACUAUGAACUUUGCUGAAGCCCAGGAAACAACUUCCUCCUGCAUCACAUAUGUUCACUCAGUCAUUCCUUCCCCCGAUGGAAGGGUACUUUCUGUGCAUGUGUACGUUAUAGGCUUUCCCAUGGAUGUUUCUACUAUGGUCUUUGAGGCCAAGCAGCAAGGGUAAAUUGGGUGAAGAGUAAAGACUUCCUGUUAAAUACUUCUUCAGGUACCCAUUUUCCUUGAGUAGGCUGAUACUCAUUUCUACAGCCCCCGACCACACGGAGGCCCUGCUCACUGCCCAAGGCAGAGCAACGUUAAAGCAGUUCUACAGAAUGAGGUUUAUCGAACUUCUCCAGAGGAAAUGUAAACUCUGAACGCAACGGUGCCAAUCAAAAGAGUGCACGCCCUGGACUGGAGUGACAUCUCAGCUGUUCAGAUUGUGUACUGCGCUCUUCUAGAGGACAAGAUCUGGUGUCAACACUUGCUUCCUGGGUAGCUACCAAAUACCUGUAACCCCCAGCCCUGACCUCCAAGAACCCUGCACUCCUAGGGAAAUGUUCUAGCAGUCUGGGUCAGUCCCUGGCACAGAAGCCUGGCCCAUGUGUUUCUCAAUGCUCUGACAUGCUUCAUAUUUGUAUCCAGUUUGGAUUCCACGAAGGAGAGUCGUUCACUUAUUUAGCAUUGUUCCAUUAACUCUCUACCCGGUAUUUUCUAUUGGAAAAUCCCAGCCUAAGCCCUAGGUAGAAUUAGAAUAACAAAUCAGAUGGCUUUCUGCGAUCUCUUCGAGAUAUUGUCAGGGUAUGACUUGUGUGUACGUUUGUGUGUGAUGCAGAGGGGUAUUGGGAUUUCCUCUGUUUUGGUUUUAGUUGGCGAGCUUUAAUUUCAAUUCUUUGUUCUGGUUCUGAGUGAAAUGCUUCCGUUUUCAAGGCCCUUUCAGGCCAGGAAGUUUAUUUGUUUACCUUGGUAAAAACAAAUUGCGAGGAAAAAGGCUUACAUUUUUAUAUCACUGUUCAUCAUUGAAGGAAGUCAGAAUAGGAACUCACACGGGUCAAGAAGCUAGAGGCAAGAGCUGAUACAGAGGCCAUGGAGGGAUGCUGCUGACUGGCUUGCUCUUU
rnacentral:sRNA from 1 species